GAGAGCCAUAUCACCAGGAACAUUACCUCAUGCCCAGAAGUGGGGUACUUCUUCCAGAAGGAUAUAGGACGGAAUAACAUUGAACCAAGUGCCUGCUAUCUGUGCUUCUGUCAAAAUAAUAAGAGUGCGUUGUGCUGGCCGAGAGACAAAAGGAGAUGCGAUAAGAAAAAGUAUCACCAUUUUGGUAAAAGGGAGGCGAGGUUUCGGCGGAGCUUGGCACUUAGCGAUAUUUUCUUCCGCGACGCUGCCAGAGAUGUACUGCGGAAGCAAACGCCUCAGCAAUGUAAGCCUUACGAGUCGAGUUUCAGUGAAGGAUGUCCACCGG